UCCUCGAAUAGCAAUUAUAUGCUCACAAAAAAACUUUCAUAAAUCAUAAAGAGCUAUUCUUAGUAUGGCGUUGCUUAGGUUUGCUUUCGUUCUAACCGUUCUUCUCAUGACAACCACUAUCAAUGUGUCGUGGUUCUCAGAGACGCAUGUACUGGCUUCACGGGAUAUUGAUCGCGAUCUCUUGGGACUUGAGAAGAGGCUACUCUCACCAUUUAAACUUAUGACUUGUGGGAGAGAUUGUGUUUACAAUGAUUGUAAAGAUGAUUGUUGGGUUUGCUGUAGAUGUGUUAGAUCUGGUUGUGUGUUAUAAUGCAAAUUAUGCAUUAGUGUCCAAUUUCAACCAACCCUACAACCUCAUAUUAUGUAUUUACCUUUUCUCGUGUAAUUUGUGUGUUUUCCUCAUCUUUUCUUGCUUUGUACAAAAAUAAUAAUUAAACUUUCUAGUUUUAUUUGUACUCAAAGUUGAACAGUGUUGGUUGAAGAUUGAACUAGAGGUUUGGUGGCAAUAAAAAAGUAAAAACUUUAUUGUGUA